UACGGGAGGCAGCAGUCGGGAAUAUUGCACAAUGGGCGAAAGCCUGAUGCAGCGACGCCGCGUGAACGAAGAAGUAUUUCGGUAUGUAAAGUUCUAUCAGCAGGGAAGAAAAAUGACGGUACCUGACUAAGAAGCUCCGGCUAAAUACGUGCCAGCAGCCGCGGUAAU
rnacentral:rRNA from 1 species